rnacentral:rRNA from 1 species
CGUGUCGUGAGAUGUUGGGUUAAGUCCCGCAACGAGCGCAACCCUUAUUACUAGUUGCCAGCAUUUAGUUGGGCACUCUAGUGAGACUGCCGGUGACAAACCGGAGGAAGGUGGGGAUGACGUCAAAUCAUCAUGCCCCUUAUGACCUGGGCUACACACGUGCUACAAUGGCGUAUACAACGAGUUGCCAACCCGCGAGGGUGAGCUAAUCUCUUAAAGUACGUCUCAGUUCGGAUCGUAGGCUGCAACUCGCCUACAUGAAGUCGGAAUCGCUAGUAAUCGCGGAUCAGCACGCCGCGGUGAAUGCGUUCCCGGGUCUUGUACACACCGCCCGUCACACCAUGAGAGUUUGUAACGCCCAAAGCCGGUGGGGUAACCUUCGGGAGCCAGCCGUCUAAGGUGGGACAGAUGAUUAGGGU